rnacentral:rRNA from 1 species
UGCGUAGGCGGACUAAUAAGUCAGUGGUGAAAUCUUUCGGCUCAACCGGGAAACUGUCAUUGAUACUGUUAGUCUUGAGUUAGGUUGAGGUAGGCGGAAUGUGUAAUGUAGCGGUGAAAUGCUUAGAUAUUACACAGAACACCAAUUGCGUAGGCAGCUUACUGGACCUACACUGACGCUGAGGAACGAAAGCGUGGGGAGCGAACAGGAUUAGAUACCCUGGUAGUCC